rnacentral:rRNA from 1 species
GUGGAUUAGAUACCCCGGUAGUCCACGCUGUAAACGAUGGGCACUAGGUGUGGGGGGUGUCGACUCCCUCCGUGCCGACGCUAACGCAUUAAGUGCCCCGCCUGGGGAGUACGGCCGCAAGGCUAAAACUCAAAGGAAUUGACGGGGGCCCGCACAAGCAGCGGAGCAUGUGGUUUAAUUCGACGCAACGCGAAGAACCUUACCUGGGCUUGACAUGUUCCUGACAGCCGUGGAAACACGGUCUCCCUUCGGGGCAGGAUCACAGGUGGUGCAUGGUCGUCGACAACU